CCUACGGGGGGCAGCAGUGGGGAAUAUUGCGCAAUGGGCGAAAGCCUGACGCAGCGACGCCGCGUGAGGGAUGAAGGUCUUCGGAUCGUAAACCUCUGUCAGCAGGGAAGAACGGUCACUGUGCUAAUCAGCAGUGAAUUGACGGUACCUGCAAAGGAAGCACCGGCUAACUCCGUGCCAGCAGUCGCGGUAAUACGGAGGGUGCGGGCGUUAAUCGGAAUUACUGGGCGUAAAGCGCUCGUAGGCGGUAUGUCAAGUCAAGGGUGAAAUCCCCGCGCUCAACGUGGGAACUGCCGUUGAAACUGGCAGACUGGAGUGUGUGAGAGGAUAGUGGAAUUCCAGGUGUAGGAGUGAAAUCCGUAGAUAUCUGGAGGAACAUCAGUGGCGAAGGCGACUAUCUGGCACAUAACUGACGCUGAGGAGCAAAAGCGUGGGUAGCAAACAGGAUUAGAUACCCCAGUAGUC
rnacentral:rRNA from 1 species